UGUCCUUGCCUCUCCUUGUGCUGUCUCCCCUCAUAGCACACGGGCAGGUGUGCUACGUGUGCAUCCCCACAGGCUAGGUCUCGGGAGCUAUGAACAAGUAAGAGGGGAUGAAAAUCAUGCGGGGUAGUGGGCACUAGAGUGGAGUGUAGACUGUCGAUGUUGACUUGGUUACUGUUUAUCAAGUGGGGCUGAUGUAGAUGGGAUGGGAGAGGGAGGCAGGGAUGAGGGCAAGAUUAAAUGCACUAAUAGAGCUCUGUGUAGUGAUGAUGGUUCUUACCUGACUUUAUUAGUUUGCAGAGGAAUCAUCCAGGAGCCCUCGCCGGACGAGAAUAUGCAGAAGUGGAUGUGAGCAGCCUGGACAUCCUUUUAAGGAGACAUGAAUAUUCCUCAUCUUUCUGCCUUCUGCAUAACUGCCUGUGAGUAAGAGUACCAAGGAAAAAGAAGUCACGGUCAGAGUCUACUGUCCUCAUGCGAUGGAAAGCGAGCGAGAGCGAUGAGACCACGAGCAUUGUUGAAAUCAAGCAUUAGCCGUGCAUCUGGGAGCGGAGCAGCUACUGCUGUCAGUGAGAUAAGUGUCUGUUCUGGUGAGAGCUCUGCUCACGGCCCACCUGGCUCCAGGUAGGGACGUCCUGUAAGUUGGGCCUGGGUUUGUAACAAAAUGUUCAUGACUAGCUGUGGUUAUGAGGGAGACUGGGUCCCCAUUUUCAGGGUCUGCUCAUUUCUCUGCUGACAAGCGAUGUGUCCUCUGCAGAAAAGGUAGGUUCCAGGUGGCGAGUUACUUGUCUUCCUCCUGUGUUUCUCUCUCUCUUCUCUAGUGUUGGCCAACACACUCUGUCAGUCUGUCCUUGCCUCUUUUUCUGCUGUUUCACUUCAUUGCACGCAGGCAGGUGAGCUAGCUGUGCAUCCCCAGAGGCCAGGUCUCGGGAAGCAUGGCGAAGUAGGAGAGGACGAAAAUAAUGCAGGGAAGUGGGUGUGAGAGUGGAGCAGUGACUGUUGCUGUUAACUCGGUCUCUGUUCAUCAAGUAGGGCCAAUGCAGACGGAAUGGAAGAGGGAGACAGGAUUGAGGGCAAGAUUUCACGCACCAUUAGAGCUCUCUUUAAUGAUUGCUCAUGCUUGGUUUUUGCAGCUGUUCUUGCAGAGGAAUUGUCCAGGAGCCCUAGCUGGAGGAGGAAGAGGCAGAAGUGGACCUGAGCAGCUUGGACAUCCUUUUAAGCAGACACGAACAGUCCUCAGCUUUAUGUCUCUUGCAUAACUGGCUUACCAAGUGAAAAGAAGUCAGUUUACUGCCCUCAUGCGAUGGAAAGCGAGCGAGAGCAACGAGACCUCAAGUAUUGUUCAUGCCAGGCAAGAGCCGUCCAUCUGGGAGCGGAACAGCUGCCACUGUCACUGAGAUAAGUGUCUGUUUUGCUGAGGGUUCUGCUCACGGCCCACCUGGCUCCAGGUAGGGACACCCCAUCAGCUGGGGCUGGAUUUAUAAGAAAAUGUUCCUCACUAGCUUUGGUUAUGAGGGAGACAAGGUCCUCAUUUCUGUGUCCAGUAGCUGUGUUCCCUCCUCAGCAGAAGAUUGGUUCCAGGAGGAUGACACCAGGUGGUGAGUUGCUUGCCUUCCUCCCAUGAUUCUCUCUCUCUCUCUCUCUCUCUCUCUCUUCUCUAGUGUUGGCCAACACUUGCUCUCUCUCUCCUUCUGCUGUCUCCCUUCAUAGCACCCCUGCCUGUGUGCUAAGUGUGCAUCCCCACAGGUUAGGUCUCCUGGAUCCACGAGAAUCAUGCUGGGUAGUGGAUAGUAGAGUGGAGUGGUUACUAUCGGUGUUAACUCCAUCUCUGUUCAUCAAGUAGGGGUGAUGUAGAUGGAAUGGGAGAGGGAGGCAGGGAUGAGGGCAUUCACAGAGCUCUGUGUAGUGAUCAUUCUUGGUUGGCUUUAUUAGUUUACAGAGGAAUCGUCCAAGAGCCUUAGCCGGAGGAGAGGGUGGCAGAAGUGAAGCUGAGCUGCCUGAACAUCCUUCUAAGGAGACAUGAAUAGUCCUCAGAUUUCUGAAUUCUGCAUAACUGUCUGUGAGUAAGAGUGCCGAGGAAAAAGAAGUCACAUGUCAGAGUCUACUGCCCUCAUGCGAUGGAAAGUGAGCGAGAGGGACGAGGCUGUGAGCAUUGUUGAUGCCACGAAAAAGCCAUCCAACUGGGAUCAGAACAGCUGCUACUGUCAGUGAGAUAAGUGACUAGUUUGGUGAGGGAUCUGCUCAUGGCCCACUUGCCUCCACGUAGGGAAACCCCGUUAGCUGGGGGUGGAUUUGUAUGAAAAGGUUCCUGACUAGCUGCGGUUAUAAGGGAGACAAGAGCCCCAUUUUCAGGGUCUGCUCAUGUCUCUGGCCAGGACCGGUGUGUCCUACGCAGCAGAAGGUUAGUUCCAGCAGGAUGAAUCCAGGUGCUGAGUUGCUUGCCUUCCUCCCAUGUUCCCCUCGCUCUUUUCUCUGUGUUGGCCAGCACUCACUCACUCAUUCUCUCUCUCUCUCUCUCUCUGUCCUUGCCUCUCCUUGUGGUGUCUCCCUUCAUAGGACACGGGCAGGUGUGCUAGGGAUGCAUCCCCACGGGCUAGGUCUCGGGAGCCAUGAAGAAGUAGGAAGGGAUGAAAAUCAUGCAGGGUAGUGGGUGCAAGAGUGGAGGCAGGUACUGGAAGGUCUUGUGCACCUAUAGUGUGUUUGGCAGUGAUGGGUCUUCCAUAGGUGGUUUGCUGUUCUUGCGGAGGGCUGCUCCAGGGCAGCGGAGCAUCUGCAGGAAGCAGACCUGCACGAUCUAGCUGUUUCACUUUGCAGUGGAGCCGAGGAGCUCUCUUGUAAUGUUGGAGGAGCAGGUGCGUGUUUUUGUGAAAUGAUAUUUCUCAAUCCACUAUCUGCAGAGUGAGGUGCUUCGUGGAGAGCAGAGAGAUGCUUCUCCUAUCCAUGGGAUGGGUCCUGGGGAAGGUCCAGCUCUGCCUGUGGCUGGCAGUGGUCUGGGAUUGUCCCUUUCCUGGAGGGCUGUAGCUCCUUAGGAGUGGUGAGUAUUUUAGGCCCUGGGUAAGCUGAAGAAGAAUAAAGAAGGAGGGAGCAGCAGCCAGUGACGUGUGUCCAUUGUUCUUCCAUGCACAAGUGGUGACCUAGCUUACAAGUGUUCUCUCUUUCUCUUUUCAGUCGUACUGAGAUUGGUCAGAUGAGAGAUCGGCCAACUUGUGGCAGAGACCAAAGAAGGAGCAGCCACCCAGAGCCCAUCCCUAGGGAUGGAAGCCGGACAGUGAUCUGCAGAUACCACGGAGAAAGAAGUGAAGGGUAAGAGCCCACCCCCGUUGUGAGAUGGAAAGAACCAAGAGCCGGGAGACCCCAAGCGUUGUUGAUGCCAGCCUAUGGUGAUGCCGUCGAUCUGGGAGUGGAGCAGCCGUCACCAUCAGUGAGAUAAGUGUCUGGUUUGGGGAGGACUCCGGUAACGGCCCACCUGCCUCCAGGCUGAGACUUGUCAUUAGCUGGGGCUCGGUUUGUAGGAAAAGAUUCCUGACCUGCUGUAGUUACGAGAGAGACAAGGUCCCCAUUUUCAGGGGCUGGUCUUUCCUCUGUCCACAAACAGUGUGUCCUACGCAGCAGAAGGUUGGAUCGAGGAGG